rnacentral:rRNA from 1 species
AUUGAACGCUGGCGGCAGGCCUAACACAUGCAAGUCGAGCGGAUGAAGGGAGCUUGCUCCUGGAUUCAGCGGCGGACGGGUGAGUAAUGCCUAGGAAUCUGCCUGGUAGUGGGGGAUAACGUCCGGAAACGGGCGCUAAUACCGCAUACGUCCUGAGGGAGAAAGUGGGGGAUCUUCGGACCUCACGCUAUCAGAUGAGCCUAGGUCGGAUUAGCUAGUUGGUGGGGUAAAGGCCUACCAAGGCGACGAUCCGUAACUGGUCUGAGAGGAUGAUCAGUCACACUGGAGCUGAGACACGGUCCAGACUCCUACGGGAGGCAGCAGUGGGGAAUAUUGGACAAUGGGCGAAAGCCUGAUCCAGCCAUGCCGCGUGUGUGAAGAGGGUCUUCGGAUUGUAAAGCACUUUAAGUUGGGAGGAAGGGCAGUAAGUUAAUACCUUGCUGUUUUGACGUUACCAACAGAAUAAGCACCGGCUAACUUCGUG